GCGCCCGUAGCUCAGUGGAUAGAGCGCCGGUCUUCUAAACCGGCUGUCGAUGGUUCGAUCCCAUCCGGGCGCG
rnacentral:tRNA from 1 species